AGUUUGAUCCUGGCUCAGGACGAACGCUGGCGGCGUGCCUAAUACAUGCAAGUCGAGCGGACAGAAGGGAGCUUGCUUCCCGGAUGUUAGCGGCGGACGGGUGAGUAACACGUGGGUAACCUGCCUGUAAGACUGGGAUAACUCCGGGAAACCGGAGCUAAUACCGGAUAGUUCCUUGAACCGCAUGGUUCAAGGAUGAAAGACGGUUUCGGCUGUCACUUACAGAUGGACCCGCGGCGCAUUAGCUAGUUGGUGAGGUAACGGCUCACCAAGGCGACGAUGCGUAGCCGACCUGAGAGGGUGAUCGGCCACACUGGGACUGAGACACGGCCCAGACUCCUACGGGAGGCAGCAGUAGGGAAUCUUCCGCAAUGGACGAAAGUCUGACGGAGCAACGCCGCGUGAGUGAUGAAGGUUUUCGGAUCGUAAAGCUCUGUUGUUAGGGAAGAACAAGUGCAAGAGUAAC
rnacentral:rRNA from 1 species